rnacentral:misc_RNA from 1 species
GAUGAAGAACGUAGUGAAAUGCGAUACUUGGUGUGAAUUGCAGAAUCCCGUGAACCAUCGAGUCUUUGAACGCAAGUUGCGCCCGAAGCCAUUAGGCCGAGGGCACGCCUGCCUGGGCGUCACACGUCGUUGCCCCCCCAUCUACUCCUUCGGGAUUGCGGGGGGCGGAUGAUGGCCUCCCGUGCGCCUCGUCGCGCGGUUGGCAUAAAUGCCAAGUCCUCGGCGACGCACGCCCCGACAAUCGGUGGUUGCGAAACCUCGGUUGCCCGUCGUGUGCGGUCGUCGCGCAUCGAGGGCUCGAAAAAAUUGUCGGGCUCCGGCUCGGCUUUCAACGCGACCCCAGGUCAGGCGGGGUUACCCGCUGAAUUUAAGCAUAUCAAUAAGCGGAGGA